AUUUUUCAUGGCGAAUCAUCGAAAUUCGCCAGGCCGCCACGGACACGCCCUUCAACGAAAACUCAAGAUCUUCGCAAUUUAACAUCGCAAAGGCCUUUAGAUUAGGCAUACCAAAUUUGGUGUUGAUUUGAAGAACUCUCUAGGAGGAGUUUGUUAAAAUACAACAUAUGGAAAUGACCAAAAUUACAAAAAAUUUGCUCAUAAUAUUACAAAUAACCGACUUCCUGUUGGUUUUAGAAUUUUGCUCCAAGAGUCUUUUUUGUAGGUAUUGGUGUGUUACAUAUGUGUGCCAAUUUUCGUGCAUGUACGUGAAACAUAGCUCGAAGGCUGUUGAUUUUCUUCGUAUAGGUGGCGCUGUCGAGCCAUUUUGCCACACCCUCUUCUGAAUCCUAUAUCAGACGAAAAUUUUCACCUGGUUUUACGCGUGUGCAAAGUUUCAUGACUUUUUGAGCAUGUUUAAGUCCUCAAAAAUGCGAUUCAUUUUGGAGAAGCGGAAGAAUAAUAAUAAUAAUUAAAGCUGCAAGCAGCGAUGAACGGGCCCUCGCACCCGGGCUCACCGCCAUCGUGUGGCUUUAGUAAAAAGGUGAACGUUGAGAAAUAUGCAUUUAAUGUCCUAAAUAUAAGUGGAAUAUAUCAAAGUAUAUCCCAUAUAUGUGCCAAUCUUACCGUUGCCAGCAGGUGGCGCUAUCGUUAUAAUGGAAUAUUGGCCUUCAGAUGUGUUCAAGCCAGGACCCUUAUCACACAUGUGAAGUUUGGGCAAGAUCGGACAUUUUAUGCCUGAGUUAUAACAUCUUUUAUUCCCAUGGCGAGACAUCGAACUUCGUCAUGGCGACAUGGACAUGCCUUUUAACAAAAAUUCAAGAUCUUCACAACUAAACAUCACACAGGUCUUUAGAUUAGACUGACCACAAAAAAGACAUUGAUGUCAUAAAAUUUCUAGGAGUAGUUUGUCACAGUGUAAAAUAUGUCACUUCCAGUUGCCAAUAGGUGGCGCUAUGACUAUAACUGAAUAUUGGCAUGUAGAUCUGUUCAGGUGAAGAGUCUUAACAAAAAUGUGAAGUUUGGGGCGGAUUGGACAUUGUAUGUCUGAGUUAUAGCACCAUCAUUUUUCACGGCGAAUCAUCGAAAUUUGUCAGGCCGCCAUGGACACGCCCUUUAACGAAACCUCAAUUCCUUCGCAAUUUAACAUGGCAAAGGGCUUUAGAUUACACUGACCAAGUUUGGUGUUGUUCUGAAUAAAUCUCUAGGAGGAGUUCGUUAAAAUACAACCCCUGAAAAUGACAAAAACAACACCAAUUUUGCAGGGAAAAUUAAAAAUAACCGACUUCCUGUUGGGAUUCGGAUUUCGUACCAAGAGACUUUUUUGUAGCUAUUGGUGUGUUACAUAUGUUUACCGAUUUUCGUACAUGUAUAUGACAUGUAGCUCGAGGCGCACUCCAUUGAAAAUGUAUAGGUGGCGCUAUCGAGCCAUUUUGCCACACCCAAUGGAAUAUUAGCCUCCAGAUGUGUUCAGGUCAGUACUCUUAUCAAACAUUUGAAGUCUGGGCAAGAUCUGAUAUUUUAUGACUGAGUUACAGCAACUUCUACUCCCAUGGCGAGACAUCGAACUUUGACAUGGCGCCAUGGACACGCCCUUUAACAAAAACUCAAGAUCUUCUCAUUUUAACAUCGUACAGGCCUUUAGAUUAGACUGACGACAAAAAAGACAUUGAUGUCAAAAAUUUCUAGGAGUAGUUUGUCGCAGCUUAAAAUAUGUAACUUCCUGUUGCCAAUAGGUGGCGCUAUGACUAUAACUGAAUAUUGUCGUGUCAAACUGUUCAGGACAGGAGUCUCAUCCAACAUGUGAAGUUUGGGGCAGAUUGGUCAUUGUAUGUCUGAGUUAUAGCAACUUCCUGUUUCAUGGCGAAUCAUCGAAAUUCGCCAGGCCGCCACACACAGGCCCUUCAACGAAAACUCAAAAGCUUCGCAAUUUAACAUCGCAAAGGACUUUAGAUUAGGCAUACCAAAUUUGGUGUUGAUCUGAAUUAAUCUCUAGGAGGAGUUCGUUAAAAUACAACGCAUGGAAAUGACAAAAAUGACACAAAAUUUGCUCAUAAUUUUUGAAAUAACCGACUUCCUGUUGGGUUUCGGAUUUUGCUCCAAGAGACUUUUUUGUAGGUAUUGGAGAGUUACAUGUGUAUACCGAUUUUCAUACAUGUACAUGAAACGUAGCUCGAGGCGCACACCGUUGAACGUGUAUAGGUGGCGCUGUUGAGCCAUUUUGGCACACCCACUUCUGAAACCCAUAUCAGACGUAAAUUUUCGCCAGUUCUGAGGUGUGUGCAAAGUUUCAUGACUUUUCGAGCAUGUUUAGGCCCUCAAAAAUGCGAUUCAUCUUAGAGAAGAAGAAUAAUAAUAAUAAGAAUAAUAAUAAACGGAGCAAUUCCAAGAGGGUCCUCACACCAUCGGUGCUCGGGCCCUAAUUAAAGCUGCAAGCAGCGAUGAACGGGCCCUCGCACCCGGGCUCACCGGCAGCGAGUGGCUUUAGUUAAUAGGUGAACGGUGAGAAAUAUGCGUUUAAACUCAUAAAUAUAAGUAGAAUAUAUCAAUGUUUAUUCCAUAUAUGUGCCAAUCUUCCUGUUGCCAGCAGGUGGCAUUAUCAUUAUAAUGGAAUAUUGGCCUUCAGAUGUGUUCAGGGCAGGACCCUUAUCACACAAGUGAAGUUUGGGCAAGAUCGGACAUUUUAUGCCAGAGUUAUAACAACAUCCUAUUUCAUGGCGAAACAUCGAAAUUUGUCAGGCCGCCAUGGACACGCCCUUUAACGAAACCGCAAGAUCUUCGCAAUUUAAGAUCGCAAAAGGCCUUAGAUUACACUGACCAAGUUUGGUGGUGAUCUGAAUAAAUGUCUAGGAGGAGUUUGUUAAAGUACAACCAAUGAAAAUGGCCAAAACAACACUAAUUUUGCAGAGAAAAUUCUAAAUAACUGACUUCCUGUUGGGAUUCGGAUUUCGUACCAAGAUACUUUUUCGUAGAUAUUGGUGUGUUACAUGUGUGUACCGAUUUUUGUACAUGUAUGUGAAACAUAGCUCGAGGCUCACUCCGUUUAAAGUGUAUACGCACUCUGUUGAAAGUGUAUAGGUGGCGCUAUCGAGCCAUUUUGCCACACUCGAUGGAAUAUUGCCCUUCAGAUCUGUUUAGGCCAGGACCCUUAUCACACAUGUGAAGUUUGGACAAGAUCGGACAUUUUAUGCCUGAGUUAUAACAUCUUUUAUUCCCAUGGCGAGACAUCGAACUUCAUCACGGCGCCAUGGACACACCUUUUAACAAAAACUCAAGAUUUUCACAACUAAACAUCACACAGGUCUUUAGAUUAGACUGACCACAAAAAAGACAUUGAUGUCAUAAAAUUUCUAGGAGUAGUUUGUCGCAGUGUAAAAUAUGUAACUUCCUGUUGCCAAUAGGUGGCACUAUGACUAUAACUGAAUAUUGGCAUGUAGAUUUGUUCAGGUCAAGAGUCUUAUUCAACAUGUGAAGUUUGGGGCAGAUUGGACAUUGUAUGUCUGAGUUACAGCAACUUCCUUUUUCAUGGCCAAACAUCGAAAUUUGUCAGGCCGCCAUGGACCCGCCCUUUAACGAAACCUCAAGUCCUUCGCAAUUUAUUAUCGCAAAGGGCUUUAGAUUACACUGACCAAGUUUGGUGUUGAUCUAAAUAAAUCUCUAGGAGGAGUUCGUUAAAGUACAAACCCUGAAAAUGCCAAAAACAACACCAAUUUUGAAGGGAAAAUUCAAAAUAACCGACUUCCUGUUGGGAUCCGGAUUUCGUACCAAGAGACUUUUUUGUAGGUAUUGGAGUGUUACAUGUGUGUACCAAUUUUUGUACAUGUACGUGAAACAUAGCUCGAGGCGCACUCCGUUGAAAGUGUAUAGGUGGCGCUAUAGAGCCAUUCUGCCACACCCGGUGGAAUAUUGGCCUGCAGAUCUGUUCAGGCCAGGACUCUUAUCCCACAUGUGAAGUUUGGGGAAGAUCAGACAUUUUAUGCCUGAGUUAUAACAUCUUUUAUUCACAUGGCGAGACAUCGAACUUCGUCACGGCGCCAUGAACAAGCCUUUUAACGAAAACUCAAGAUCUUCACAACUGAACAUCGUACAGGCCUUUAGAUUAGACUGACCACAAAAAAGACAUUGAUGUCAUAAAAUUUCUAGGAGUAGUUCGUCGCAGCGUAAAAUAUGUCACUUCCUGUUGCCAAUAGGUGGCGCUAUGACUAUAACUGAAUAUGGGCAUGUCAAUCUGUUCAGGUUCGGAGUCUCAUCAAACAUGUGAAGUUUGGGGCAGAUUGGUCAUUGUAUGUGUGAGUUAUAGGAACUUCAUUUUUCAUGGCGAAUCAUCGAAAUUCGCCAGGCCGCCACGGACACGCCCUUCAACGAAAAGUCAGGAUCUUCGCAAUUUAACAUCACAAAGGCCUUUAGAUUAGGCAUACCAAAUUUGGUGUUGAUUUGAAGAACUCUCUAGGAGGAGUUCGUUAAAAUACAACACAUGGAAAUGACAAAAAUUACACAAAAUAUGCUCAUAAUAUUAAAAAUAACCGACUUCCUGUUGGGUUUAGAAUUUCGCUCCAAGAGUCUUUUUUGUAGGUAUUGGUGUGUUACAUAUGUGUGCCAAUUUUCGUGCAUGUACGUGAAACAUAGCUGGAAGGCUGUUGAUUUUCUUGGUAUAGGUGGCGCUGUCGAGCCAUUUUGCCACACCCUCUUCUGAAUCCUAUAUCAGACGAAAAUUUUCACCAGGUUUGACGAGUGUGCAAGUUUCAUGACUUUUUGAGCAUGUUAAAGCCCUCAAAAAUGCGAUUCAUUCGGGAGAAGAAGAAGAAGAAGAAGAAUAAUAAUAAUAAUAAAAAACAAAGCAGAUACAAGAGGGUCCUCGCACCUCGGUGCUCGGGCCCUAAUUAAAGCUGCAAGCAGCGAUGAACGGGCCCUCGCACCCGGGCUCACUGCCAUCGUGUUGCUUUAGUAAAAAGGUGAACGUUGAGAAAUAUGCAUUUAAUGUCCUAAAUAUAAGUGGAAUAUAUCAAAGUAUAUCCCAUAUAUGUGCCAAUCUUACCGUUGCCAGCAGGUGGCGCUAUCAUUAUAAUGGAAUAUUGGCCUUCAGAUGUGUUCAGGCCAGGACUCUUAUCGAACAUGUGAAGUUUGGGGAAGAUUGAACAUUUUAUGCUUGAGUUACAACAACUUCUCUUGCUGUGGCAAGACAUCAAAUUUUGUCAUGGCGCCAUGGAAACGGCCUUUAACAAAAACUCAAGAUCUCCAAAAGUUAACAUUGCACAGGCCUUUAGAUUAGACUGACCACAAAAUAUAUGUUAAUCUCAAAAAAAUUAUAGGAGUAGUUUGUUGCAGCGUAAAACAUGUCACUUCCUGUUGCCAAUAGGUGGCGCUAUGACUAUAACUGAAUGUGGGCAUGUAGAUCUGUUAAGGGCAGAAGUUUUAUCUAACAUGUGAAGUUUGGGGCAGAUUGGACAUUGUAUGUCUGAGUUACAGCAACUUCCUUUUUCAUGGCGAAACAUCGAAAUUUGUCAGGCCACCAUGGACACGCCCUUUAACGAAAUCUAAAGAUCUUCGCAAUUUAACAUCGCAAAGGGCUUAAGAUUACACUGACCAGGUUUGGUGUUGAUCUGAAUAAAUCUCUAGGAGGAGUUCGUUAAAGUACAACCCCUGAAAAUGGCAAAAACAAUGCCAAUAUUGCAGAGAAAAUUCUAAAUAACCGACUUCCUGUUGGGAUUCGGAUUUCGUACCAAGAGACUUUUUUUUAGGUAUUGGUGUGUUACAUGUGUAUACCGAUUUUUGUACAUGUACGUGAAACAUAGCUCGAGGCGCACUCUGUUGAAAGUGUAUUGGUGGCGCUAUCGAGCCAUUUUGCCACACCUGAUGGAAUUUUGGCCUUCAGAUGUGUUCAGGCCAGGACUCUUAUCACACAUGUGAAGUUUGGGGAAGAUCGGACAUUUUAUGCCUGAGUUAUAACAUCUUUUAUUCCCAUGGCGAGACAUCGAACUUCGUGACGGCGCCAUGGACACGCCUUUUAACGAAAACUCAAGAUCUUCACAACUUAACAUCGCACAGGGCUUUAGAUUAGACUGACCACAAAAAAUACAUUGAUGUCAUAAAAUUUCUAGGAGUAGUUCAUCGCAGUGUAAAAUAUGUCACUUCCUGUUGCCAAUAGGUGGCGCUAUGACUAUAACUGAAUAUGGGCAUGUCAAUCUGUUCAGGUCAGGAGUCUCAUCAAACAUGUGAAGUUUGGGGCAGAUUGGUCAUUGUAUGUCUGAGUUAUAGCAACUUCCUGUUUCAUGGCGAAUCAUCGAAAUUCGCCAGGCCGCCACGGACACGCCCAUUAACGAAAACUCAAAAGCUUCGCAAUUUAACAUCGCAAAGGCCUUCAGAUUAGGCAUACCAAAUUUGGUGUUGAUCUGAAUGAAUCUCUAGGAGGAGUUCGUUAAAAUACAACGCAUGGAAAUGACAAAAAUGACACAAAAUUUGCUCAUAAUAUUAGUAAUAACCGACUUCCUGUUGGGUUUCGGAUUUUGCUCCAAGAGACUUUUUUGUAGGUAUUGGAGAGUUACAUGUGUAUACCGAUUUUCAUACAUGUACAUGAAACGUAGCUCGAGGCGCACACCGUUGAACGUGUAUAGGUGGCGCUGUUGAGCCAUUUUGCCACACCCACUUCUGAAACCCAUAUCAGACGUAAAUUUUCGCCAGUUCUGAGGUGUGUGCAAAGUUUCAUGACUUUUCGAGCAUGUUUAGGCCCUCAAAAAUGCGAUUCAUUUUGGAUAAUAAUAAUAAUAAUAAUAAUAAUAAUAAUAAUUAAAGCUGCAAGCAGCGAUGAACGGGCCCUCGCACCCGGGCUCACCGCCAUCGUGUGGCUUUAGUAAAAAGGUGAACGUUGAGAAAUAUUCAUUUAAUGUCCUAAAUAUAAGUGGAAUAUAUCAAAGUAUAUCCCAUAUAUGUGCCAAUCUUACCGUUGCCAGCAGGUGGCGCUAUCAUUAUAAUGGAAUAUUGGCCUUCAGAGGUGUUCAGGCCAGGACUCUUAUCAAACAUGUGAAGUUUGGGGAAGAUUGAACAUUUUAUGCUUGAGUUACAACAACUUCUCUUGCUGUGGCAAGACAUCAAAUUUUGUCAUGGCGCCAUGGAAACGCCCUUUAACAAAAACUCAAGAUCUCCAAAAGUUAACAUUGCACAGGCCUUUAGAUUAGACUGACCACAAAAUAUAUGUUAAUCUCAAAAUAAUUAUAGGAGUAGUUUGUUGCAGCGUAAAACAUGUCACUUCCUGUUGCCAAUAGGUGGCGCUAUGACUAUAACUGAAUGUGGGCAUGUAGAUCUGUUAAGGGCAGAAGUUUUAUCUAAAAUGUGAAGUUUGGGGCAGAUUGGACAUUGUAUGUCUGAGUUACAGCAACUUCCUUUUUCAUG